UUAUGUCAAACAUCUAAAUUUUGACUAGUGCUUGAUACAUUACCUGCCUCACUACCUGGCACUUUUUUCCGGAGGUCGUCUAUGAGAUCGGUUAUGCGAUUAAGUAAAUAGGAUACGUGGAAAUGUGGAUAUAACCCCUUAUAACCCUAUGAAAUAUAGUCGGAUACUAACGUAACUCACCUAUCACAAAAAUCAACUCCAUGCAAAAUGUUGUAAAGUAAGUCAUAUCGCAAAGCGUCUCAAUUGUAUAUCCCUAUUAGCACUUUCAUAAUAUUUCAUCCUAUUAUAAAAAACGAAUGCUGAGAGGUGAUGAAAUGCAGUGCCAGCAACUAACCAAAACAAAUUCUAUACAAAUCAUACUCAUUUUCUACCGCAGUAGUCAUUCUACUUAACCCACUGUACGCCAGUGCACCUUUCCUUCACUUAGCGGGUGUAGUAAUACUAU